AGUGCAUGUGGUGGAUGCCUUGGCAGUCAGAGGCGAAGAAAGACGUGAUAGCCUGCGAAAAGCUCCGGGGAGGCGGCAAAUAUCCUUUGAUCCGGAGAUGUCUGAAUGGGGGAACCCACCUACCUUAAGGUAGGUAUUGCAACAUGAAUACAUAGUGUUGCAAGGCGAACGAGGGGAAGUGAAACAUCUCAGUACCCUUAGGAAAAGAAAUCAAUUGAGAUUCCCUCAGUAGCGGCGAGCGAAAGGGGAAAAGCCCAUUAAGUUAUGUGUGUUUUAGUGGAAUGCUCUGGGAAGUGCAACCAUAGUGGGUGAUAGUCCUGUACACGAAAGGGCACACAUAAUGAUGACGAGUAGGGCGAGGCACGUGAAACCUUGUCUGAAUAUGGGGGGACCAUCCUCCAAGGCUAAAUACUCCUGACUGACCGAUAGUGAACCAGUACCGUGAGGGAAAGGCGAAAAGAACCCCUGUGAGGGGAGUGAAAUAGAUCCUGAAACCGCAUGCAUACAAGCAGUGGGAGCCGACUUGUUCGGUGACUGCGUACCUUUUGUAUAAUGGGUCAGCGACUUAUAUUCAGUAGCGAGGUUAACCGAAUAGGGGAGCCGUAGAGAAAUCGAGUCUUAAUAGGGCGUAUAGUUGCUGGGUAUAGACCCGAAACCGGGUGAUCUAUCCAUGAGCAGGUUGAAGGUUGGGUAACACUAACUGGAGGACCGAACCCACUGUCGUUGAAAAGCCAGGGGAUGACUUGUGGAUAGGGGUGAAAGGCUAAUCAAACUCGGUGAUAGCUGGUUCUCCCCGAAAGCUAUUUAGGUAGCGCCUCGGACGAAUACCAUUGGGGGUAGAGCACUGUUUCGGCUAGGGGGUCAUCCCGACUUACCAAACCGAUGCAAACUCCGAAUACCAAUGAGUACUAUCCGGGAGACAGACUGCGGGUGCUAACGUCCGUAGUCAAGAGGAAAACAAUCCAGACCGCCAGCUAAGGCCCCAAAAUCAUAGUUAAGUGGGAAACGAUGUGGGAAGGCAUAGACAGCUAGGAGGUUGGCUUAGAAGCAGCCACCCUUUAAAGAAAGCGUAAUAGCUCACUAGUCGAGUCGGCCUGCGCGGAAGAUGUAACGGGGCUAAAACUAUGUGCCGAAGCUGCGGAUGCAUAAUUUAUUAUGCGUGGUAGGGGAGCGUUCUGUAAGCCGAAGAAGGUGUAUUGAGAAGUAUGCUGGAGGUAUCAGAAGUGCGAAUGCUGACGUGAGUAACGACAAAACGGGUGAAAAACCCGUUCGCUGAAAGACCAAGGGUUCCAGUCCAACGUUAAUCGGGGCUGGGUGAGUCGACCCCUAAGGCGAGGCCGAGAGGCGUAGUCGAUGGGAAAUUGGUUAAUAUUCCAAUACUUCAGUGUAAUGCGAUGAGAGGACGGAGAAGGUUAAGUCAGCCUGGCGUUGGUAGUCCAGGUGAAAGGAAGUAGGCAUGCAUCUUAGGCAAAUCCGGGGUGCUCUAUGCUGAGAUCUGAUAGCAAGCUGUACUUGUACAGUGAAGUGGCUGAUACCCUGCUUCCAGGAAAAGUCUCUAAGCUUCAGUUACACUGGAAUCGUACCCGAAACCGACACAGGUGGUCAGGUCGAGUAGACCAAAGCGCUUGAGAGAACUCUGCUGAAGGAACUAGGCAAAAUGGUACCGUAACUUCGGGAGAAGGUACGCUGUUGACGGUGAUGGGACUUGCUCCCUGAGCGGUUGACAGCCUCAGAAACCAGGCCGCUGCAACUGUUUAUUAAAAACAUAGCACUCUGCAAACACGAAAGUGGACGUAUAGGGUGUGAUGCCUGCCCGGUGCUGGAAGGUUAAUUGAUGGGGUUAGCGUAAGCGAAGCUCUUGAUCGAAGCCCCAGUAAACGGCGGCCGUAACUAUAACGGUCCUAAGGUAGCGAAAUUCCUUGUCGGGUAAGUUCCGACCUGCACGAAUGGCAUAAUGAUGGCGGCGCUGUCUCCAGCAGAGGCUCAGUGAAAUCGAAUUCGCCGUGAAGAUGCGGUGUACCCGCGGCUAGACGGAAAGACCCCGUGAACCUUUACUG
rnacentral:rRNA from 1 species